rnacentral:rRNA from 1 species
CAUUAUACGGCGAAACUGCGAAUGGCUCAUUAAAUCAGUUAUCGUUUAUUUGAUAGUACCUUACUACUUGGAUAACCGUGGUAAUUCUAGAGCUAAUACAUGCUUAAAACCCCAACUCACGAAGGGGUGUAUUUAUUAGAUUAAAAACCAAUGCCCUUCGGGGCUCUUUGGUGAUUCAUAAUAACUUUUCGAAUCGCAUGGCCUUGCGCCGGCGAUGGUUCAUUCAAAUUUCUGCCCUAUCAACUUUCGAUGGCAGGGUCUUGGCCUGCCAUGGUGACAACGGGUAACGGAGGGUUAGGGCUCGACCCCGGAGAAGGAGCCUGAGAAACGGCUACUACAUCCAAGGAAGGCAGCAGGCGCGCAAAUUACCCAAUCCCGACUCGGGGAGGUAGUGACAAUAAAUACUGAUACAGGGCUCUUUUGGGUCUUGUAAUUGGAAUGAGUACAAUUUAAAUCCCUUAACGAGGAACAAUUGGAGGGCAAGUCUGGUGCCAGCAGCCGCGGUAAUUCCAGCUCCAAUAGCGUAUAUUAAAGUUGUUGCAGUUAAAAAGCUCGUAGUUGAACCUUGGGCCUGGCUGGCCGGUCCGCCUCACCGCGUGCACUGGUUCGGCCGGGCCUUUCCCUCUGGGGAACCGCAUGCCCUUCACUGGGUGUGUCGGGGAACCAGGACUUUUACUGUGAAAAAAUUAGAGUGUUCAAAGCAGGCCUAUGCUCGAAUACAUUAGCAUGGAAUAAUAGAAUAGGACGUGUGGUUCUAUUUUGUUGGUUUCUAGGACCGCCGUAAUGAUUAAUAGGGACAGUCGGGGGCGUCAGUAUUCCGUUGUCAGAGGUGAAAUUCUUGGAUUUACGGAAGACUAACUACUGCGAAAGCAUUCGCCAAGGAUGUUUUCAUUAAUCAGGAACGAAAGUUAGGGGAUCGAAGACGAUCAGAUACCGUCGUAGUCUUAACCAUAAACUAUGCCGACUAGGGAUCGGGCGAUGUUAUUAUUUGACUCGCUCGGCACCUUACGAGAAAUCAAAGUCUUU